rnacentral:lncRNA from 1 species
GCCGAGAGUCUCGACAGCGCGGGCGAUGGAAGAAGGGUAAGCCGGGUAGUUUACAGCGAAGGCCGCCGUGUUGGCGGGUAAAUUGCCUGAGAUUGUACCGUCUUUUAUGAUUCCCAUUGCUAUUUGCUGUGGCAGUUUGCCCUUUGCUGCCGCUGCAACAGCUAACGGCUAACAAAAAUCAACAAUUGCACGGCAAAGAAAGAGCUAAGGAAGGAGACUUACGGCGUCGUUUGGACUGGGAUGCGACGAUACUGUCACGAAGAAUAAUGCUUCGGUCUUGGGCAUGGGGUGGGGCACUGGGUAGUGGCGGUUCGGUCUCUGUUUAUCUUUUC